rnacentral:lncRNA from 1 species
GCUAGCCUCACCUCUCCUACCUCAUCAACAAUGAGACUGAAUGCUUGUGGUCUUCGGAGACUGGAAAGUUCAGUACAAGAUGCAGGGAAUACAAAGGUCAGUUCAUCUAUAGGUCAUGGUACUUUGCUCCAAAGGCACAUGAAAGUCAUUUGUAAUUCAAGACUGAGGCAGUCAUAAACAAUUCUGAUCUGAUUAUCCUUUUACUAAUCUGAUUUUGAUAAACAGCUGAUGAAAAUGGGAGGUGUCUGGUUAUCAGAGGAGAGAUACCCAGGCAGUGAAAUCAGUUUCUCUUAUCUCACUGGGCAGGGAUUUAUUUCAAGACUCCUAUUAAUAGCCUGCAAUGCCAAGAACUGUGAUCUCUACCCUGGAUUUCAAGAACCUUCUGAGCAGAGUGGCAGAAACCCAUUGGAUCCCCCCCACCCACCAAUACAAAUGGCAUUGCAAGGACUGGGGCUGUAGCUCAGUGGCAGAGCACUUGCUUAGCACAUGUGAGGCAUUGGGUUUGAUCUUCAGCACCACAUAAAA